CGCGGCGCUGGCGGCGUGCCUAAUACAUGCCAGUCGAGCCGAACAGAAAAGGAGCUUGCUCCUUUGACGUUAGCGGCGGACGGGUGAGUAACACGUGGGCAACCUACCCUAUAGUUUGGGAUAACUCCGGGAAACCGGGGCUAAUACCGAAUAAUCUCUUUUGCUUCAUGGUGAAAGACUGAAAGACGGUUUCGGCUGUCGCUAUAGGAUGGGCCCGCGGCGCAUUAGCUAGUUGGUGAGGUAACGGCUCACCAAGGCGACGAUGCGUAGCCGACCUGAGAGGGUGAUCGGCCACACUGGGACUGAGACACGGCCCAGACUCCUACGGGAGGCAGCAGUAGGGAAUCUUCCACAAUGGGCGAAAGCCUGAUGGAGCAACGCCGCGUGAGUGAAGAAGGUUUUCGGAUCGUAAAACUCUGUUGUAAGGGAAGAACAAGUACAGUAGUAACUGGCUGUACCUUGACGGUACCUUAUUAGAAAGCCACGGCUAACUACGUGCCAGCAGCCGCGGUAAUACGUAGUGGCAAGCGUUGUCCGGAAUUAUUGGGCGUAAAGCGCGCGCAGGCGGUCCUUUAAGUCUGAUGUGAAAGCCCACGGCUCAACCGUGGAGGGUCAUUGGAAACUGGGGGACUUGAGUGCAGAAGAGAAAGUGGAAUCCAAGUGUACGGUGAAUGCGUAAGAUU
rnacentral:rRNA from 1 species